rnacentral:rRNA from 1 species
GAUGAACGCUGGCGGCGUGCCUAAUACAUGCAAGUCGAGCGAACGGACGAGAAGCUUGCUUCUCUGAUGUUAGCGGCGGACGGGUGAGUAACACGUGGAUAACCUACCUAUAAGACUGGGAUAACUUCGGGAAACCGGAGCUAAUACCGGAUAAUAUUUUGAACCGCAUGAUUCAAAGGUGAAAGACGGUCUUGCUGUCACUUAUAGAUGGAUCCGCGCUGCAUUAGCUAGUUGGUAAGGUAACGGCUUACCAAGGCAACGAUGCAUAGCCGACCUGAGAGGGUGAUCGGCCACACUGGAACUGAGACACGGUCCAGACUCCUACGGGAGGCAGCAGUAGGGAAUCUUCCGCAAUGGGCGAAAGCCUGACGGAGCAACGCCGCGUGAGUGAUGAAGGUCUUCGGAUCGUAAAACUCUGUUAUUAGGGAAGAACAUAUGUGUAAGUAACUGUGCACAUCUUGACGGUACCUAAUCAGAAAGCCACGGCUAACUACGUG